UACGUAGGGACCAAGCGUUGUUCGGAUUUACUGGGCGUAAAGAGCUCGUAGGCGGUUUGUCGCGUCGGAUGUGAAAGCCCGGGGCUUAACCCCGGGUCUGCAUUCGAUACGGGCAGACUAGAGUGUGGUAGGGGAGAUCGGAAUUCCUGGUGUAGCGGUGAAAUGCGCAGAUAUCAGGAGGAACACCGGUGGCGAAGGCGGAUCUCUGGGCCAUUACUGACGCUGAGGAGCGAAAGCGUGGGGAGCGAACAGG
rnacentral:rRNA from 1 species